UACGUAGGGGGGCUAGCGUUUGUUCGGAAUUACUGGGCGUAAAGCGCGUGUAGGCGGCUCGGAAAGUCGGAUGUGAAAGCCCUGGGCUUAACCUAGGAAGUGCAUUCGAAACUCCCGAGCUUGAGUUCUGGAGAGGAAGGCGGAAUUCUCGGUGUAGAGGUGAAAUUCGUAGAUAUCGAGAGGAACACCGGUGGCGAAGGCGGCCUACUGGACAGUGACUGACGCUGAGACGCGAAAGCGUGGGGAGCAAACAGGG
rnacentral:rRNA from 1 species